AAGUGAUGUGCCCAAGGCCAAAGGUCUUUCUUGGCACCAAAAGUAGAACCCAGAAGAACUUCUAAGACAUCUGUUUCAUGGACAGCAUCCAGAUGAUGAGUGCAUGGUUGGAACAGAGACCUACACCAACAAGAUGUUCAAAACCAGAAAAGGGGAGCAAUCUCAGAUCAAUGGAGAAACACUGCUGCUAAAACUCCAGUUGUGCUGCUGCAUGCCCUGGAGUAUGAAACACCGGAAUACAGCUGUGAUGGGCCUAAACAGACAAAAAAGCUGCGAGAACUGCGGCCACUUUUGGAGCACAGUUCCAGCACCUUUGCA
rnacentral:lncRNA from 1 species